rnacentral:tRNA from 1 species
GCCCGAGUGGCUCAGUGGUAGAGCGAGUUCUUGGUAAGAACUAGGUCGUGGGUCCGAUUCCCACCUCGGGCUC